rnacentral:rRNA from 1 species
AUUGAACUGGCGGCAUGCCUUACACAUGCAAGUCGGAACGGCAGCAUGAUUAGCUUGCUAGAUUUGAUGGCGAGUGGGCGAAACGGGUGAGUAAUACAUGGAACGUGGCCCCUUAGUGGGGGAUAACUAGUCGAAAGAUUAGCUAUACCGCAUACGCACCUGAGGGUGAAAGUGGCGGACCGCAAGUCCUCAUGCUAUAGGAGCGGCCGAUGUCUGAUUAGCUAGUUGGUGAGGUAAAGGCUCACCAAGCGACGAUCCUGUAGCUGGUUUGAGAGGAGAUCAGCCACACUGGGACUGCUACACGGCCCAGACUCCUUACGGGAGGCAGCAGUGGGGAAUUUUGGACAAUGGGGGGCAACCCUGAUCCAAGGCAAUGCCCGCGUGUGUGAAGAAGGCCUUUCGGGGUUGUAAA